GACGAACGCUGGCGGCGUGCCUAACACAUGCAAGUCGAACGGAAAGGUCCUGCUUUUGUGGGGUGCACGAGUGGCGAACGGGGGAGUAACACGUGAGUAACCUGUCCCUGACUUAGGGAUAUAUUCAGGAAAAUGGGGAUCAUACAGGAUAGAAUCUCUUGCUGCAUGGUGGGGGUUGGAAAGAUUCGGCGGUUGGGGAUGGACUAGCGGCUUAUGAGCUUGUUAGUGGGGUAGUGGCGUACAACGGCUUUGACGGGUAGCCGGCCUGGGAGGGUGACCGGCCUCAUUGCGACUGCGAUACGGACCAGUCUCCUACGGGCGGCAGCAGUGGGGAGUAUGGCACAGUAGGCGGGAGCCAGAUACGACAACGCCGCGUUCGGGAUGCCGGCCUUCUGGUUGUGAACCACUUUCGCCUGUGACGAGGCGUGAGUGACGGUACUGAGUCAAGAAGCCCCGGCUAACUACGUG
rnacentral:rRNA from 1 species